rnacentral:lncRNA from 1 species
UUUUUUUUUUUUUAUGACUCUUCCAUGAUGAUUGGCAGCCGUCAGGAGCAGGACUUUGACAGCCCUAAAUUAUUUCCCUUUCUCUCGCUGGUUCCCUUAAUUCAUGCAAAGUCCUUCUACAGAGCUCGAACUUUAGGGACCAACAACCUCUCCUUCUCCCACCCUCCCCCCGGCGUCCGUCCCUCCCCCCCUUUUCUCCUCAGGGUCAGUUUUUCGGCAUGAGGGCGUUUAUUUCCAUAUUUUUUUGUUCUAUAGCUAUACCUAUAUAUAUAGAUAAAUAUAUAUAUAUGUAUUUGCUUCCCUAUGCAGUCUGCUUGUUUUUAGUGCUGUGUGCAUAUUUUCUUUUCCUUUUUUUUUUUUUUUUCUUUUUUUCCUGGAAAAAGUGGCCCCUUUCAUUUUGCAGAAUAUAUAGAUAUAUAGAUAUAUAUGUUUUCAGAGUGGAUGUCUGCCUUGCACCAAAAUCCUACGGUUUGGCCAAGAAAAACAGGGUGCUGGAAUGCAGCAGGCACCCUCUGAUUAACCAGAUUAUUUUGCUUCUGCUUCCCUAUUUUUCUUUUUUGAUUGCUCCCAUUCGGAAAAAAAAAAAAAAAAAAAAGGGAGAGAAAAAAAAUUAAAAAAGGAAAGAAAAGGGGAAAAAAAAAAAGGAAGGAGAGAGAAAGGAGAAAAAAAGUUUCCGUGAUUCAUAGAAGAGAGCCCUUUUGGGGAUAGGGGGGAGAGUGCGGGGGGGGGGGGAGGAGGGGAGAGAAGAGGCGCAGACACCAGUGGUGCUCCUUGCUGCGAGAGGGGGCUAAUUUGGAGAGUGAAAAUACAAAUAAAAAUAAUAAUAAUUAAAAAAUAAAAUUAAAAAAGAAGCUUGAGCCCACCCGCCUAAGCCCUCUCCCCACAGCCACCCCCCCGGGCACAGCUGCAGUUUUGGUGCAUUACGCUUCUCCACCCCGCUUUCCCAACGCGGUCUGAACGCUCUCGCUCGGAUCGACCCUUCUCCACCGCUCCCUAUCGGUAUCGAUCUUAUAUAUAUAUAUAGAUAUAGAUGCACGCGUCUAUCCAUAUAUAUAUAAACACAAGCAGUCUGAACGAGCCUGGAUCGUGUGUGUGUGUGUGUUUGUGUGUGUGUGUGCGUGUGUGUGAGUGUGUCCGGGUGAGCGGGCGGCUGUGCGCGCCGGUGGCGGUGGCUGUGCCCGUCCCGGCCCCCUCGCCCCCCGGCCCGCCCGUCGGUGCCCCUCACUGCACGCUGGCCUGCAGUCCGUGGUGAGGAGGCGGCGUGUCGGAGUUGACGGUGCCGACCUGGGAGUAGACAUCAUCGGGGGUCUGCUGCUGGAUCCCCGGGGGGGUCAUCCGUUUCUCUUUCUGCCUCCGAUUGCAAAACCAAACCCUGACCACCUCCUUCUCCAGCUGCAGGCUGUCCGCUAGGUUCGUAAUCUCCUGGGCGGAGGGCUUGGGGCAUUUCAGAAAGUGGCUCUCCAAGGCCCCCUUGACACUCACCUCGAUGGAGGUCCUCUUCUUCCUCUUCCUGCCCUGGGCGGCGAUCUUGUCGAUGCUGGUGGGGCUGCCCGUGGAGGAGUCGGCUUCCUCCAGCCACUUGUUCAACAAAGGCUUCAGCUUGCACAUGUUCUUGAAGCUGAGCUGCAGGGCCUCGAAGCGGCAGAUGGUGGUCUGCGAGAAGACGUUGCCGUAGAGGGUGCCCAGCGCCAGCCCCACGUCGGCCUGGGUGAAGCCCAGCUUAAUCCGCCGCUGCUUGAACUGCUUGGCGAACUGCUCCAGGUCGUCCGAGGUCGGCGUGUCCUCGUCCGAGUGCGGGUCGUGGCUGUUGACGCCGCCGUGGUGCGGCGGGUGGUGGCCGGGGUGCUGGUGGUGAUGGUGGUGGUGGUGCCCGGGGUGCUCGCCUAGCUCCGGCGUCUCGCCGCGCACCAGCCCCGGGUGCACCAGGCUCUGCCCGCCGGGGGGGGGGCUCAGCAUGCCGUUCACCGUGAAGCCCCCGGGCUGCGAGUAGAGGAGCGACUGCUGCUGCUGCUGCCCGCCGGCCAUGGAGGGCAGGUGGGCGGCCGCCGCCGCGCCCCAGGCCGCCGGGUGCCCCUGGUGCGGGGGGCCCAGGUGGGGCGGCCGGUGGUGCAGCGCCGCGCCCGAGUGCAGGUCGUCGCGCCCGCCGCUGCCCUUGACGUCGGGCGGCGGCGGCGGCUGCUGGGGGCUGCCCGUCAUGCCCACGGGGCUGCCGGACCAGGGCGAGCCCGCUUCGGCGGCGGCGGCGGCAGCGGCGGCGGAUGCCGUUGCCGGGGAGGUAGGGGUUAGAGGUGGCCGCG